rnacentral:rRNA from 1 species
GACGAACGCUGGCGGCGUGCUUAACACAUGCAAGUCGAACGGUGACGGAGAGCUUGCUCUCCUGAUCGGUGGCGAACGGGUGAGUAACACGUGGGCAACCUGCCCCAGACUUCGGGAUAACGCUUCGAAAGAGGUGCUAAUACCGAAUACGAACGCCGUGGGCAUCCACGGUGUUGGAAAGUUUUCGGUCUGGGAUGGGCCCGCGGCCUAUCAGCUUGUUGGUGAGGUAAUGGCUCACCAAGGCGACGACGGGUAGCCGGCCUGAGAGGAUGACCAGCCACAUUGGGACUGAGACACGGCCCAAACUCCUACGGGAGGCAGCAGUGGGGAAUCUUGCGCAAUGGGCGAAAGCCUGACGCAGCCAUGCCGCGUGGAUGAUGAAGGUCUUAGGAUUGUAAAAUCCUUUCACCGGUGAAGAUAAUGACUGUAGCCGGAGAAGAAGCCCCGGCUAACUUCGUGCCAGCAGCCGCGGUAAU